UUAAAAAGCUCGUAGUUGGAUUUCUGUGGGGACGGAGCGGCCGGCCGCUACUAGCGGUUCGAGCUAGCGCUUUCCCUACAUCCUGCCGCGAACCGUGAUACCAUUAGUUUGGUGGCGCCGGGGAUCGGCUCGUUUACUUUGAGAAAAAUAGAGUGUUCAAAGCAGGCCACACGCCUUGAAUAAGUUAGCAUGGAAUAAUAACUAAGGACUUCGGUUCUAUUUUGUUGGUGUUCGGGACUGAAGUAAUGAUUGAUAGGGACAGUUGGGGGCGGUCCGUAUUCCAAAGCGAGAGGUGAAAUUCUUAGACCUUCGGAAGACGAACAGCCUGCGAAAAGA
rnacentral:rRNA from 1 species